CUUCUUGGCCUAGGGUUGUACUAGCUCAGGAAACUUUUAGCAGGGCUUUUUGGUACUCAUACCUGGGAGUUCUUUUUGUUUUGGUUUGGAUUUUUUUGGGGGGUGGGAGUCCUGUAGAUGGUUUGUUCUCUAGCUAUCAUGUGGAACAAAUAUAAACCUGUGUUCUAUUUGUGAAUCCCUGUGGACCCUUGAAUAUUUUCUCCUUGAAGUGAAUUUACUUCUCAGUGGCUGCACUUAUUCCAGCAGGAAACCAUGGAAAGCCUUUUGGUGCCUAAAAUGAGGAGUUUUCUGUUCCUGGUCUGGAGGCGCAGCUUCCUAUGUUCCAGACGAGCAGUAAUGCUAGCUUAAUGAGCCGUGGACUCAUUUCUUAUUCUUUUGGAGCUGUUCAGGUCACCCAUCCACCCCAAUGGCUCUCAGUGGAAGAAGAUUUAUGAAUCAUUGAGUUGCCUUAAGACUUUUGGGAAAGGACCCUGUAAAAAACCCAAAUAUGUCUGUGGAGGGAUGAGCAUUGUACCCAGGACAGUGGCGACCCUGCCUGCAAUGGCACAGCCACUGCCUGCGUUUUGGGUCUCGCACAGGGAUGCUCUCAGCACUGACUACAGCCUCCUCAUCACAAGUAUAACACUGGGCUUUCAGGUAAACCUCUUGAGGGGUGAACGGCUGCACGAAGCAUGGACUAAUGAAUAGUUUAAGUUGCUGAACACAGCUCGACAAACUGCAGCUCAGAGUUCAAGCUAAUGGGUUUUUUCCCCAAACCCCAGGCUGGUGGCUGCUUUUUUUGUCUUCUCUCUUCAGUUUUUGAAAUAUCCAUCAAUUCUCCUUUUUUUCUUGAGCUGCUGCAAAAGAGUCACAGCUGAGCUGUGGUUCAAGCUACAGGAAAAUAUCCUAUGCCAACCCCAGCCCCCAGUGCAAGCAGGUUUUGCACUCGUGAUGGGUUUAACGUCAAGCAGUGCCUUCAAGUGGGAUGUCAUCUGCAGGGACUGGAUCUUUGCACUGCCAUGAAUUGUUAGCCUCCUCUGCCACCCUCAUCUUUCUAGUUGAAGGCAGUUGCUUGCUGGCAUAGCCCUACCCUUGAAUUCAAGACAUAAACUUGUCUGUGUUGACACUCGAGACCACACUUUUAGUUUUCAACAGAAGGUGUCUGCAGUGUGAAGUCCUGCUCACCACCAAGGAUGUGCUUCAUAGUCCCAGCUAGUGGGGACCACAACUCCUCCCUUGAUGAGCUGCUCCAUGAACAGUGGAGUUGAGAUGUGCUGUGAGCAGCAGGAAAAAAAUGGUGUGUUAGUGCUGCACACUUGAAACUGAAGAAAGGAGACCUUUUUUUUACCCAUCCCUCUUAUUUUGAACAGACCUUCC